rnacentral:rRNA from 1 species
CUUUAGGGGACCUGUGGGAGGACAUUACAGUAUUCUUUUGCCAGCGCUUAACUGCGCGGCGAAAAACCUUACACACAGGUUUUUUUGAUACAGAACUCUUGCUUUGGUUUGGCCUAGAGAUCAGGUUGGGCCAGAGGUUUAACAAAACACAAUUUAAUUAUUUUUACAGUUAGUCAACUUUUGAAUUAAUCUUCAAAACUUUCAACAACGGAUCUCUUGGUUCUCGCAUCGAUGAAGAACGCAGCGAAAUGCGAUAAGUAAUAUGAAUUGCAGAUUUUCGUGAAUCAUCGAAUCUUUGAACGCACAUUGCGCCCUCUGGUAUUCCAGAGGGCAUGCCUGUUUGAGCGUCAUUUCUCUCUCAAACCCCCGGGUUUGGUAUUGAGUGAUACUCUUAGUCGGACUAGGCGUUUGCUUGAAAAGUAUUGGCAUGGGUAGUACUGGAUAGUGCUGUCGACCUCUCAAUGUAUUAGGUUUAUCCAACUCGUUGAAUGGUGUGGCGGGAUAUUUCUGGUAUUGUUGGCCCGGCCUUACAACAACCAAACAAGUUUGACCUCAAAUCAGGUAGGAAUACCCGCUGAACUUAAGCAUAUCAAUAAGCGGAAGAA